rnacentral:rRNA from 1 species
ACGUAGGGAGCGAGCGUUGUCCGGAAUUACUGGGUGUAAAGGGAGCGUAGGCGGGAUGGCAAGUCAGAUGUGAAAACUAUGGGCUUAACCCAUAGACUGCAUUUGAAACUGCUGUUCUUGAGUGAGGUAGAGGUAAGCGGAAUUCCUGGUGUAGCGGUGAAAUGCGUAGAGAUCAGGAGGAACAUCGGUGGCGAAGGCGGCUUACUGGGCCUUUACUGACGCUGAGGCUCGAAAGCGUGGGGAGCAAACAG